AGCAAAAACCUAUAAAAAAAUGGAUCAAAGUGAGCUAAAUCAACACCAGUUGCCGUCUUGCGUCAAUACAUUCACUUUCCGUAUUUCCUGCUCUGUUCUUCAUCUCCUUAUUGGAAGCCCAUGUCCCGCGUUUUUCCAUUCUCUCUCCUCAUUUUCUCCCUCCCCAUUAUCCAUAUCCCAUCAUUAUAAAUAAAAAACCCACAUUCACAUUUCACCUAUCCGUUUUAUUCCCUCGAAACCCUAAUUUUCGAAUUCAAUAAUACACAUGUUCAAGAACCCUAAAAACUUCGAAGAUCUGGAUUCUCUCGCCUUUUUCCGCACCUUCAUGGCCCAUCCUCCUACGAUUCUUGUUCGUAAUGUAUGGUCCACUAAUCUCGAAUCCGAGUUCUCUAUAAUCCGUUCAUUAAUCGACCAAUUUUCCUUCGUUUCUAUGGAUACUGAGUUUCCCGGCGUACUUUUCCGGCAAGUUGGCGGUGAUCCAUACACCAAACGAAUUUCUCCGGCGACUCAUUACUCUCUGUUGAAGCAAAAUGUUGAUGCUUUGAAGAUUAUUCAGUUAGGGUUAACGUUGGCGGAUUCGAAAGGAAAUCUUCCGGAUCUUGGAAACCCUAAGUGUAGGUUUAUUUGGCAGUUUAAUUUUAGAGAUUUUGAUGUUGGACAUGAUAAUCAUGCGCCUGAUUCUGUUGAGUUGUUGAAGAAUAAUGGUAUUGAUUUUGAAUUGAAUAGGAAAUCUGGAGUUGAGUCUGUGAGAUUUGCGGAGUUGAUGAUGUCUUCUGGAUUGGUGUGUAAUGAUAACUCUGUAACUUGGGUGACAUUUCAUUGUGCGUAUGAUUUUGGAUAUUUGGUGAAAGUGUUGACUCAGGCACCAUUGCCGAGUGAGCUUAGUGUGUUUAAUUAUUUGAUAAGGAUUUUCUUUGGAGACAGAGUGUUUGAUGUCAAGUACAUGAUUAAGUUCUGUGAUGGAUUGUAUGGAGGGUUAAAUAGAGUGGCGAAGGCUUUAGAGGUGGAUCGGACGGUCGGAAGGUCGCAUCAAGCUGGUUCCGAUAGCUUGCUAACGUGGCUCGUCUUCCAGAAGAUUCACCAUCUUCACUUCAACAAGGUGGGAGAACUUGACAUGUGCGCUGGAUUGUUGUAUGGGGUGGAGAAAUUGAAGGGAUGAAUUAGGCGCGAUUUUGAGCUUAGUUUCUGCGACUCAUUCAUAUUAGGGUAAGGGGAGCCAAAAUCACGGAGUUGUCUACAUCAUCAAAUAUAACUGCUCUUAUUAGCGAAAGGAGACUCUUGUCCUUAACAAAUUGCAUAUCCUUUUUUUGGUUUAGUAUAAUUUUUUGAAGAGUAUGAGAUAACAAAGGUAUUGGAGUCUAUGCAUAAGACAAGAGGUGGAGCCGAGUAAUUAACUUAACUCAUUGGUACAUUCUUUCCUUGAACAUAUUUUUUUGUCGUGUAAAAAAAAGUAUUGAAUGGAAGCGCAUGCAAAAACUAAAAAGUGAUAACAAACUUAUCAUGAGAGUGCAUCAUAGGGUUUAGGUCUGUGUUUGUUAGAUGGAUAUCUAAGGUAUUCUGCGUAGAAAGUGUGUCCAGAUAUUUCCUUAGUUCAUAGGUAAAUUUUGUGGAAUUGCGACGCUUUCAUGCCUAUGGAAACUUAAUCUUCAGAGAUCAACCAGUAUAUGUAGCUUAAUGAUGUGAUCUGUGAACGUUGAACUCUAUACCUUUCUUUUGUGCUACUUGUUUGACGUUCCUGUGUGUAUUUUUGGUCUCCAGAAUUUUAUACCGGGGUUUUCGGGAAUUUGGAUUUGGAUUGCGACCAUGUUGACAAUUUUUUUUAAGAAACUGAAAAUAUGUGUAAUCAAGUAAAAACAAACCCAUAUCGAGUCCCGACCUACUUUUCCCCAUACCCCACACUUUUUUUUUUUUUUUUUGUAUUAGCCACUUUUUCCCAAACAUCAUAAACGUGGAAUCCUCAAUGUUUAGUUAGGGAAAAGCUAUCUUAGCUUUCAUGCGGACUUGCUGACACCGCAAAUUGCACUAUCACAUUUGCUACUUUCUAAUUGUCCAUCAAGUAUAAUGAUAAAGGAGAAUUUUCAAGGAACUACCAAGCUUUUUCAAAAAACUACCUUUUUUAAAAAAACAACUACCUUUCACAACAAAUUUCUUUCGAAAUACUCCUACAUGACGGUUGCCGCAUAGUUUGGCCAUUCAUUCAGCCAAUCAGUUGCACAUGGUAGUCACGUAACCUUCAUUAACCUUCUACCCACCAUUAGUGACACCAUAUUUGAUACUCUUCUAGAGUUGGUUUGUUGGUUCAUGAGACAAAUCUUUCUAAUUCGAGCUUCAAAUGGUGUUGAAGGUCACAUGAUUACCACGCGUAAGUCAAUGGCAGAAUUAAAGGUGAAACUUAAUUUUCCAAUAAAAGAAGUAAAUAAGUAAACAUAGGGCAUCUGUCAAACGGGGGAUAUUUUUAUGUUUUUGACAUGGGUCAAACAGGGAGAUGAAGAUUGCAAUGUGCAUGAGUACAUUUGAUGGUCCUCUUUCCACAAUAUUAGAAUUGGAUUUCAGGAUUUCAUUUCUUGAAAAUGAAUACAACAUUUGUAUCAUCUCCAUGCAAUGAUGCAAUGCAAAGUCAUCAAAAGGUACCUGAGGAGCUGUUAUUGUAUGUAUCAUGUGCUGGAUCAAAGCAUCUAUGUCUGUCUUCCUGACCCCUGUUGAUAUUGAAAGAUUAUGAAGAAUGAUGAAAGGUAUCUCUCAGUCAGGAGUCUGCUCAUCUAUCUGAGUUUAGUGAUCACAACAUUACACUUGCACUUGUAAUCUAUGUGUAGUUUUCAUCAUAAUCGUUUUCAGCUUCUGCUUUUUUUUUUUUUUGGGGGGGUGUUGUGAGUGAUUGAGGUUUUUCUCAUUUAUGCAGUAUUAUCUUGCUAUUAAACAUAGGCUGUUAUUCAUCUUGUAAUUCCAAGAUGUCCGUGGAAUAGCCUUUCCCUUGUCUGCCUGGUUUAACCCAGGAGCCAGAAUUUAGAAGUGACUUCUGUAAGAAAAAACCAAAUUUCUAUUUUUUUUUUUUCCCUGGAGAAGAGAAUCAAAAAAAAAAAAAAAAGGGACUUCAAAAGGCGCCUCCUUGUUGUCAGCUAACACUAACAGGCCUUCUCUCUAAAUGAUGGCUGUGAGCUACUUUUCAGCUGUUGUUCCUGGCUUGUGCACCCAUAUUUUCGCAGAAUCUAGUCCAGUCAGCAGUAGUCUACUAUAUUCUGCCACUUUUGGAUUAUGUUAGCCUUAUUAUGUUGUAUAUGUCGUAUUUAGAUGCUGGACUAUCACGCUAAGUAACGGCUUCAUUAGAUUGACUUAUCAUUUCCUGUAUGUCAUUGUGAUUUGUGACCCCUACUGAAGCGUUCCCUAGCUUCUUGUCCUCGUGCCAAAUCCCCGGAGGUUGCAGCAUAAGUUAUUUGUACAUAUAAUGAUACUUAAGGGGAAAACUUUUAACUUCUUCAAUAAUGUUAUUGAAAAUCUGCAAAUCACUUUAUUAAGUGUGCUUUGUUUUUCGUGUUCCCAUAAGAAAUCUUAGAUUAUGAUAUAAAGGCUUGUGCAUCCAUUAUGCUUAUGCUGUCAAGUCUUCCCUGGCCUGGGAUUGAUAGUUCGUGAUGCUUUAGCUACUUCCCAUUUUUCAUGGGCAAGUGCAAGUCAACUUUAUGUCUAUGGUUUUGCUAAUGGUAUAGAAAAAAAAGGGAGAAAGAAAAGAAAGGAAAAAGAAUCGAAAGAAGAAAAGUAGAGAGUGACAAGAAAGAGCUAGGACGGCAAUAUAUUUUGGCUUUAUCUUUCUCCUAAAUUCCCUGGCUGAACGCAAUGAGAUUAUGAACAAGUUAUGGAAGAGCGCAAAUUGUGGAGGGUGAAAGCAAAUCAAAGUUGCAGCUCUAUGGUUCGCUUAUGGUAUAGAAAAAAAAAAGGAGAAAGAAAGAAAAAAGAACCGAAAGAAGAAAAGUAGAGAGUGACAAUAAAGAGCUAGGUUGGAAUGUAUUUGUCUUUCUUCUAAAUUUCUUGGCUGAAAGCAAUGAGAUUAUGAACAAGUUAUGGAAGAGUGCAAAUUGUGGAGGGCGAAAGCAAAUCAAAGUUGCAGCUCUAUCUCAGCCAAUCAGCAGGCCACCAUUUAUCUAUCAUCCUUCUGGCUCUCAUGACCAGUCCCAAAUUGGAGUAUUAGUUGUGGCAACAUGUGACUGAGUGACUCAAUUUGUAGGGUAUGUUAUGGAACCUGUUCGUCAACAUCAAGUACACCACACAAGCUGGAUAUGUGCCUGGGCUCCACAGAUGUCAAGCAGUCAAUUCUAAUUCGCUACUGCAUGUCAUGUAAACACUUGCAAGGUAACAUAAAAGGGCGUUAAUAACAGCAGCCGAGGAUGAAGAGGUCAUUAUCAGUGAAGAAAGGAACUGGUAUUGGUGAGGGAACAAGUGCAACUUGCUGAAUAUGGUAGCUAUGUUAAAUCAUCGGAGAAUGUAUUUAAGAACUCUUGUUUGAACCCUCAUCUAGGAAUUUUCUUUGGACAAUGAAAGGUGGCAAAUUUCAUACACCUGA